UAAACCUCUGCAUCCUAGCUUUAUUAUCUAGUUCUCAGAUUUUCAAAGCAACGACAAAGGUAAUACGAUGUUCUCAACUGUCACACUUGUGCUGUUCAUGUCAUGCUGCGGCGUAGCAUUAAGUAGCCCAUACUGGAACUCGUAUUGGCCAGGUAAAGGUUCCGGCAAGGACGGAUAUUGGAACUCGUAUGUGCCACAAUAUGGGAACUAUUGGCCGCAACAAUAUCCGGGUUAUCCAGGGGGCGGCUGGCAAGGGGAUAACGUCGGCUCACAAAGUAAUUCCGUGGACGGUACAGGCAAUUACGUGGGCUGGCAAAAGAAUUACGUGAAUUAAGUACCGAUGAAAUUGAACGAAAUAAAGAUACAUACAUGCAGAGAAUGUUUGCUUUUGUUGACAAUACGUAAUAAAUAUUUUUCGGCAACGAG